GGGCUAUACAUGCAGUCGAACGCGUUGGCCCAAUUGAUUGACGGUGCUUGCACCUGAUUGAUUUUGGUCGCCAACGAGUGGCGGACGGGUGAGUAACACGUAGGUAACCUGCCCAGAAGCGGGGGACAACAUUUGGAAACAGAUGCUAAUACCGCAUAACAGCGUUGUUCGCAUGAACAACGCUUAAAAGAUGGCUUCUCGCUAUCACUUCUGGAUGGACCUGCGGUGCAUUAGCUUGUUGGUGGGGUAACGGCCUACCAAGGCGAUGAUGCAUAGCCGAGUUGAGAGACUGAUCGGCCACAAUGGGACUGAGACACGGCCCAUACUCCUACGGGAGGCAGCAGUAGGGAAUCUUCCACAAUGGGCGCAAGCCUGAUGGAGCAACACCGCGUGAGUGAAGAAGGGUUUCGGCUCGUAAAGCUCUGUUGUUAAAGAAGAACACGUAUGAGAGUAACUGUUCAUACGUUGACGGUAUUUAACCAGAAAGUCACGGCUAACUACGUGCCAGCAGCCGCGGUAAUACGUAGGUGGCAAGCGUUAUCCGGAUUUAUUGGGCGUAAAGAGAGUGCAGGCGGUUUUCUAAGUCUGAUGUGAAAGCCUUCGGCUUAACCGGAGAAGUGCAUCGGAAACUGGAUAACUUGAGUGCAGAAGAGGGUAGUGGAACUCCAUGUGUAGCGGUGGAAUGCGUAGAUAUAUGGAAGAACACCAGUGGCGAAGGCGGCUACCUGGUCUGCAACUGACGCUGAGACUCGAAAGCAUGGGUAGCGAACAGGAUUAGAUACCCUGGUAGUCCAUGCCGUAAACGAUGAGUGCUAGGUGUUGGAGGGUUUCCGCCCUUCAGUGCCGGAGCUAACGCAUUAAGCACUCCGCCUGGGGAGUACGACCGCAAGGUUGAAACUCAAAGGAAUUGACGGGGGCCCGCACAAGCGGUGGAGCAUGUGGUUUAAUUCGAAGCUACGCGAAGAACCUUACCAGGUCUUGACAUCUUGCGCCAACCCUAGAGAUAGGGCGUUUCCUUCGGGAACGCAAUGACAGGUGGUGCAUGGUCGUCGUCAGCUCGUGUCGUGAGAUGUUGGGUUAAGUCCCGCAACGAGCGCAACCCUUGUUACUAGUUGCCAGCAUUAAGUUGGGCACUCUAGUGAGACUGCCGGUGACAAACCGGAGGAAGGUGGGGACGACGUCAGAUCAUCAUGCCCCUUAUGACCUGGGCUACACACGUGCUACAAUGGACGGUACAACGAGUCGCGAACUCGCGAGGGCAAGCAAAUCUCUUAAAACCGUUCUCAGUUCGGACUGCAGGCUGCAACUCGCCUGCACGAAGUCGGAAUCGCUAGUAAUCGCGGAUCAGCAUGCCGCGGUGAAUACGUUCCCGGGCCUUGUACACACCGCCCGUCACACCAUGAGAGUUUGUAACACCCAAAGUCGGUGGGGUAACCUUUUAGGAGCCAGCCGCCAAGGGUUCUU
rnacentral:rRNA from 1 species